rnacentral:tRNA from 2 species
GGCCCGUUGGUCAAGCGGUUAAGACACCGCCCUUUCACGGCGGUAACACGGGUUCGAGUCCCGUACGGGUCG